GGGAAGGUCCAAAGGUCAGCAGUGGAAGCCAGAAAGCCCAUGGCAGCGGGGUGAAGGAGCUGUGCCAGCAGGCCGAGGGUUCUGCACUGCAGCCAGGAGGCAACGCUCACAGUAAGGAGCAGGGCGCCCCUGAAAAGUACCACAGCCAGCCUCAGCGACAGUGAGGUCUGGAGCUCCUCCAAGGAGGAGAACAGCUGAAUCCGUAUCAGGGCGCCACCGUGACGAGCUUCCCCGGGAGAACCCCCGGCUCCACACAACACUCCGGAGAACCCACCGGGCUGCGCUUCCGCGCCAGGUCUCCUCCUCAUGCAGUAACAGCCCUCAGGCGGGCGUCCACGCCGAUGCGGUCACCGGCCCACUACAUGGCGUCUGCGGCUGACCUUGAAUUCGUGGCAACCCUGCUGCCUCAGCCUCCUGAGUGCUGAGAUGACAAGUGCGCCCCACCAGACCCAGCUGAACCAGUCUUUCAUAACCAGAACUGACAGAAGCCCACAGGGAGAAGCCAGCGCAAGGCAGAAGUGGCCGCCCUGCUCCAACCCCGAGCCUGGUUCCCAGGCUUCUGAGGACAGGAGAGCUCUCCAGCCACACCCACUGUGACAGGGGCUUUGGCCAGCCUCGGAGGCACCCCCCUGGCAUCCCAGUACUUAGGGAGGCUGAGGCAGGAGGAGCACCCUGAGCUCGAGGCCAGCCUGGAAUAGCAAGACCUUGUGUCUAAAUUCGGGAGUGGAGCUGGUAGUCCCCCACUGGUGAGUGAGGCGUGAUGCCAUCCACCCGGGGUGCCCAAGCCAUGUACCCUCCAUUCCCAGCCCCAACGGUGCAGGUUCAUGUUCGGCCCUGGAUCUGAAAGAUUAUCUCUGUUCCUGCACCACCUGCCUCUUGGUCCCCUUUGCCUUUGGGAAUCCUCAGGACCCGGCCUCUGGGCUCUUGGGACUGCGUGGCCUCCUGGUGCAACACGGGUAGCUCAGUUAGGUGCGAAAGGGAUCAGGUCCGAGAGAGAGAGAAGCCAGGCCUGUGGUCCAGGACCCCCCAGCUGGAGACGCCACAGCUGAACGAGAGCUCCAGCAAUCCUGGACAGUACCACAGUCACAGAGGCCACGUCCUGGCCGCACAGGAAGUGCCCAGGGCACGCUGACCCUGUCCACCCCUGCAGAAAUGGCUCUGCCCUUCUCCAUGUGGUCGCCCAGUUCGCACCUGUGUUUCUGUGAGAGCAUGUCAGCUGAGUGGUGGAGCUGGGGACCCCCUAGGUCAUCGAAGCUGCCCCGAGGACAUGGACGUGACUGACCCUAGUGUGACGCUUCCUGGACUCCACUGUCCCACGUUCUGGGACAGGCGCUGGGCACAUGGAACAGAUUUAGGCCAACAGCAGGUGCCAGGCAGCCAUCCUGUGACCACAAGGAAGAGUAUGCUGGUCCCCUGGGAUGGAGGCUGAAAAUAACCUCAGUCCUUGAAGAUGCUGUGGAGGCUCCCGAGGAACCAGCGCUGGCGUCCCACGCCCAGCACCUGUGACAAACAGCCUGACUUUCCUCACUGUGAAGCGAGGUCUCCUCCUGGGGCUGGACGAGUGUAGGCCAGAUGGGGUCAGGGCUGGGCAUACAGACUCUGUCACCUCAACUCCUCCAGGUCAGACUGGAAGUCUCUGCCCCAAGCUCCCUGGGGUGGCGGCAAGGCUGGGCUUGCACUGGGCCCCUCCUGGAGGUGGGGACAUGGGCGCCACAUCCCUGCUGCAGUCCCACACUGGGGUGGGCAUCCAGCUCCUACCCUGUGCAGGGCCACCCAGGGGAGAGAGCACGGUGUGGCCACCUUCCCUCCAGCCAGGCCAGCAGGACCCUCGGGAUGCCCUUGAAGCCCACAGCCCUGCCCAAGACGCCUGUGACCCGUGCCCACCCAGGCCCGAUCUCCUAAUGCUGCAGCCUCACAGCCUAAAAUAGCGUGAGUACUCCAGCCAUCACAUCCACUUUCCAGCUGUUAGAAAGAAAUAGGCUGCACAUGGUGGUUGCAUGCCUGGGACCCCCAGCACUCGGGAGACUGAGGCAGGAGGACUGCUGCAAGUUCAAAUAUAUCUAUAUAUUUUUGGCCAAUAAAUGUAUAUAUUUGGCCAAUAAUUGGCCAGACUUGAGGGAGUGUCAACACUUCCUCAGAGGCUAGAGCAGCACCGUGGCAGGUUGGGGCCAACCUGGGUAACUCUGGGGCCAGACUUCAAAAUAAAAACUGGCUGGGAUGUGGCGCAGUGCUGGGAUGAGGCCCUGAGUUCAGUCCCCAGCACAGGGAGAAGCAACUGGCCGGGAGGUGGGGACAGAGUCUCCGCUGAGGGCCAGCUCCCAGGCAGGAGGUGGGGUCCCGGCGCCCCUGCGGCUGCCGGGCACAGGCCUGGCCGCCGCCCUCUAUUCCCUUUGGUUGCUCUUUGAGACUGGGUCUCCAUGUGGUCCAGACUGGCCUCAAACUCAAGUUAGUCCUCCUGCCUCCUCCUCCCCGGCGCUGCGAUGACAGGCGUGGGCCGCGGAGCCGGCUAGGAACAUCCAAAUGUUUGAGUCCUAUCUGGGCCCUGGGUUCCAGCCUCGGCUCUGCAGUGGAUAAAGAAGGAAAAUAAAGUCACAAAGUGAAA